rnacentral:rRNA from 1 species
AGUGAACGCUAGCGGCGUGGAUUAGGCAUGCAAGUUGAGCGCGAAAGCUGAUGAAGGAUCCUUCGGGUGACUGAUUCCGCGAGUAGAGCAGCGCAAGGGUGAGUAAUACAUGGCUAACAUACCCCGAACAUGAGAUUAACUAUUAGAUAUGAUAGCUAAUGCUCAAUAGUUUCUUAAGACCUCCUGGUCUAAAGAAUAAAGGUAGGGAUCCUUCGGGACCUUCCGGUUUGGGAGUGGGUCAUGGGCUAUCAGCUAGUUGGUGAGGUAAAGGCUCACCAAGGCUAAGACGGCUAGGCGAUCUGAGAGGAUGAUCGCCCACAUCGGGACUGAAACACUGCCCGGACUCCUACGGGAGGCUGCAGUCGAGAAUCUUCCGCAAUGGGCGCAAGCCUGACGGAGCGACGCCCGCGUGAGGGAACGAAAGGCUUUUAGGGUCGUAAACCUCCUUUUCGCUUUGUUAAGAAAAAGUGUAUGUUAAUAGCAUGCACCCCUUGACAAAAGGCAAGUAAAGAAAGCACCCGGCUAAAAUCCCGUGCCCAGCCCGCCCGCGGUAAUAC